UACGAAGGUCCCAAGCGUUAUCCGGAUUUAUUGGGUUUAAAGGGUGCGUAGGCGGCUUAUUAAGUCAGUGGUGAAAGCCCCAAGCUUAACUUGGGAACUGCCAUUGAUACUGAUGAGCUUGAGUAGAUUUGAGGCGGGCGGAAUGUGUCGUGUAGCGAUGAAAUGCUUAGAUAUGACACAGAACACCAAUUGCGUAGGCAGCUCGCUAAACUCUUACUGACGCUGAGGCACGAAAGCAUGGGGAUCAAACAGG
rnacentral:rRNA from 1 species